rnacentral:piRNA from 1 species
AGUAAAUGUUUCUGCAGGUG